CCUACGGGUGGCAGCAGUGGGGAAUAUUGCACAAUGGGGAAAGCCUUGAUCCACCAACGCCCGUUAGCGAUUGAGGCCCUCCGGGUGUAAAGCCCCGUCCUCCCCGACGAAAACUGGCGGUUAGCGAGGAGGGAGCCACCGCCAACUACGUGCCAGCAGCCGCGGGAAUACGGAGGGGGCAAGCGUUGUCCGGAAUUAUUGGGCGUAAAGGAUGCGUAGGCGGCCCUUUAAGUGGGGUGUGAAAUCCCUGGGCUCAACCCAGGAAUUGCACUCCAAACUGGAGGGCUAGAGUGCGGGAGAGGAAAAUGGUAUUCCCAGUGUAGCGGUGAAAUGCGUAGAGAUUGGGAGGAACACCAGUAGCGAAGGCGAUUUUCUGGAACGUAACUGACGCUGAGGCACGAAAGCGUGGGGAGCGAACAGGAUUAGAUACCCCGGUAGUC
rnacentral:rRNA from 1 species